GCUGGUGUAGCUCAGUUGGUAGAGCAACGGUUUCGUAAACCGUAGGUCGUCGGUUCGACUCCGACCACCAGCU
rnacentral:tRNA from 1 species